rnacentral:rRNA from 1 species
UCGAUUUGGAGUUUGUUGCCCUGAGUGAUGGGCUCCGAAGCUAACGCGAUAAAUCGACCGCCUGGGGAGUACGGCCGCAAGGUUAAAACUCAAAUGAAUUGACGGGGGCCCGCACAAGCGGUGGAGCAUGUGGUUUAAUUCGAUGCAACGCGAAGAACCUUACCUGGUCUUGACAUCCACAGAAUCUUGCAGAGAUGCGAGAGUGCCUUCGGGAACUGUGAGACAGGUGCUGCAUGGCUGUCGUCAGCUCGUGUUGUGAAAUGUUGGGUUAAGUCCCGCAACGAGCGCAACCCUUAUCCUUUGUUGCCAGCGGUUUGGCCGGGAACUCAAAGGAGACUGCCGUUGAUAAAGCGGAGGAAGGUGGGGACGACGUCAAGUCAUCAUGGCCCUUACGACCAGGGCUACACACGUGCUACAAUGGCGUAUACAAAGGGAGGCGACCUCGCGAGAGCAAGCGGACCUCACAAAGUACGUCUAAGUCCGGAUUGGAGUCUGCAACUCGACUCCAUGAAGUCGGAAUCGCUAGUAAUCGUGAAUCAGAAUGUCACGGUGAAAUACGUUCCCGGGCCU